GUCCGGGAAGAACUGUAGCCCAGUGGUGGAUCAGCUGCUUUGCAUGCAGAAGGCUCCAGGUUCAAUUUCUGGCAGGGAUC